UCCCUUCAGCAGGGAGGAGCGGUGGCGCAUCUCGUCCGUGAUACCGUCCACUUCACACACACACACACACACACACGUGCGUCGCGUAGUGUGCAAGCGGGAGUCUACUUCUAGCCUAGAGAGCAGAGCCGCGGAUCCACGCCAACGCUCGCUAGCGCCACAGAGCGUAUCGAAAGGCAGGCGAGUUACUCCCGUGUAAAGCAGGGCGCGGGCGAACCUUGAGGACGAGUGGGCGCAUAUACGGCGCGCACUCACUCAAGUUUGCCUCUGCUUCGUCGCCCGUCGCGCUGCAGCAGUACGCCGCAGUUGCAUUGUCCUCUAGCUCCAGCAACAGCAGCAGCAGCAGCGGCGGCGGCGGCGGCCACAUAGAGACAAGCGUGGGAGCGGCUGGUUCACGGUUUUUGUGAUUGAAGGAGUGCGCUCUCGUGCCUGCUCUUUCGCUUUUCCGUCGCGUGUGCAUAUCCGCACCGCUGUCUUCGCCCUGUUUUGGUGUCAUCCAACAUGGCAGCUCGCGCGUCGCAGUCUUCCGGUGUGACGGCAGAGUUGCUCUACCGCGACGUCGUCUGGCCCGCCCUUUGGAAGGUUCUGCAGCUCACGUCGCCGCCGUCGAAUUCCGCUAAUGUCGGUGAAAAAGCCGGCGGUGGGGCUGCCGAGCACGUGCUCUGUGCCCGUGGCUUGCAGAGGGCUAUCACGCAGGCACUUGUCCAGCUCCUCCGUACAGCCUGCGUAGACGCCGCCACAUCCUCGAUGAAGGGCGUUCCGUCGGGUGUGAUGCAGGAAGUCGUGUCGCAUCUCCUUCUUCACCCCCAUGGCACUGAACAAACCACCGCUCCGCAAAUCGUGCCGGAGGCGCAGAUGGGGGUGUUGGACUCUGCGACAGCCUCGCCUGCCGCUGCAGCGGCUGCCGUCGAGGUGGAGCGCCUCUACCUUUUGGUGUGUGCAGCGAUACAGCUGAGUGCACAGGUGAAUGUCCCCCAGCUAGCGGCGGCGAAGAUUGCUCCAACGGCUGCAACCGGCGCCGCCAGUGAAACGACAGCAAACGCAGCGGCGGCGCCGCAGCUGCCAUGGGGCGUCGCGCAGGCUUCCAAGUCAGUGGUCGCCGGCAUCUUCGCGCUAUCGUCCUACGUCAACUCUUCGUCCACAUCCCUGCCGUCGCCGAUGGUACUAUGCCUGACUCCCAGUGUGCUGGGGCCGCCCCCCUCUCCGAUGGCAACCACGACAUCACAGCAGCAGCUGCAGCUGAAUGUGCAGCACCUCUGGUUCACAUUUCUCUGCGUGUACCUGCAACAGCUGUCGUCUCACACGCCAAAGGACACAACUGCGUACGCGCGUUUCUUUGCCGGCUGCGGUGACGAGUGCCGCAAGCGCCUCGCAACAGCCCCGGUGCUGUCCGAUGACGACGACAGCGGCGACGAUGGAGCUGUUGCCGUGGGCGCGGUAAUGCGCCAGUCUACCGCUGCAAAUGAAACAGCCGCGCUGCAGGCGUGGUCGCACGUCUCGAUCGACUUGCUCCGUGACACAAUCGCUCGAACGCGGUUUCGCCGAGCCGCGCUUCUCUUCAAGUCGUUUGUGCCCCACAUGCUAACACAGGCCCCAACGGUGACGUUCCUGCUCGCGGACGUCCUUAACGAGUUUGUGCGCAGUUGGACGGCCUUCAUUUCGCGCAUUCCAGCUGGAUGCAUGGCGGACGAUAUGGCGCGUCGACUAGCUCGCUAUGAUACCCGUGGCAUGCUCCACGAUGACGGUCCCGCCAGGCCAUCCCAGCAGUGGCAGCAGUGCGUUGACUUGCUCCGCGUCUACAGUGACCGUCUGACACGGAUUCUGGGGACAGGCACCCCGCAUGGUCACUUGGUCGCAACCACGCUGUGUGCUGUUCUCUCAGCGCUUUACGUGCUGCCGCACACUCGUGGCAGCUCCCCCUUCUCGAGCGCGGGGGAGGCGGGCGCCGUAGUCGCCGGCGCCGCAGUCGGCGCGCGUGGAAAACGUGAUGAGGAGGCAGCUGUGCUGGAAAUGGAGACCGCGCACCGGCAGCCACGCCGCCUGUCGACGUUCAGCACCGCCGGGGCAGCCGCAGCACCGUCGGUUGUUGGCGAGUCACUUAUGAGCGAGGUCGAGUGGCGGCUGCGGCACUACGCGCCGCUAGGCCAGCUCCUCGCCUCCACACGUAUUCUUGGGCUGCAGAAGGUUCACCUCUUCGCCGUUGCCACGGGGCAGCUGCGCGUCGGUCGUAGCGUGGCGCAGCAGGUCGAGCACACGCGGAUGCUGGCGCUGGCCGCGCUAUACUGUGGCGUGGCUGGGUGGGACUUGACAGUAUUGAUGUACCACUUCGCAGAGUGCCCACUAAACCCAUUCAGCGGCCCCGAGACGCCGCCGCCAGCACUGCCGAUCUCGGCGCUGGCGCGGUACACCGCUGCGGUGCAGCAGUACGUCGAGCACACCCGCGCAGAACUUAUUAUGGACAUGCCUUUUACAGAGCUGUGCGUGCACAAUGGCCACGUUGACGGGCGCGGCGGCAGGAGUAGUGGUUCGCGUUUUCGCGGCAUGCGUUGCGGCGGGGGCGUCUACGGCCAGCCACCGAAGCAGGGAUCGCUGCCGCAUUCAUCGGCAUCAGCGAUUCCCUCGCGCGGCGAGCUACACACACGUCGAUUUCUGCGCAUUGUGCACCCCGACCCGCUGCUGCUCAACUGGCGCCUUCACCUCACCGCAACGGAGGCGCUGGUGGCCACCACAGCGGUGCCGAACGGCGCCUCCGCAGCUGCCUUUGGCGGAGGAAGCAGCAGCAUUGCCGCUGCUGCGUCGAGCACCAACUCGGCUGCUGGGAAUGCGAACUCGGGUAGCGCUGUCCCAGACCUACUUCUGUCGCCGUGCUGUUUGAUGCGCGAUAUCAUUGUUUCAGGGCAGUACGCGCUGGCGGCAGAUGGUAUGCGCUACCUCGCCAAGCCGCCAACGCCUCCUGUGGCCAGCGCAGGGGACGUCAGCACUGGCGUGCAGAGUGUGAACGUGCUCUUGCUCCCGCGCCGCGCGUACCCGCAGCACAUCAGUGUUGCUUACUACGUGUCCAUCCUGCUGCGUCGGUGGCUACAGCGGUGGGAAGUCGCCGAACAGGAGCAGCAGGCUGGUCAAGCCGAAGCUGCGGCAUUGAUGCAGCUGCGGGAUGAGUCCUUCCGCGUCCUCUCCUCUUUUCUGCCGGUCUUGUCGGUGGUGCAGAGCUACAUGGCGAACCAGUCGCUGCUCGUGCGUCUCUUGACACGACUAUCAUGGAUGUGUCGAACUACAGCUGUCGCCGCCGCCGCAACAGCAGCAGCAACACCGGCGUCGGAGGCGGCCACCACCUCUUCGAACAGCGGCGUUGCACCACCGGCUCCGAACGCAGUCUUCGCCCUGGCAGAGCGGCUGCUUUUAGCCUUCGUCAUGCCAUGCAUUCGCGUGUUGCCGCCUGCACCGAUGGUUUACGACGUGAUGGAGGAUGUGCUUCGACUCUUUGCCCGCUCCAGUAUCCCCGACGCACAGGCACAUGGAGCGGUACCGUACGGCGAGAACGCGGCCAUGCCGCUGCACAUGUUCGACUGGCUCCAGGAGCUGCUGCCGUCGGUGAAGUUUGUGGCCGUGUACCGGACAAAGCAGCAGCUGCUGCAGCUCGAGGGGAGGCAAGGGUGGCCUCCGUCGCCGCUGGUGCACCCGCACGAUGCGCUGCUGCGCAGGGAACGGGAAGCGCUACUGUCGCACUCGCUAAAGCGUCUAAACGCUGAGAACCUCGAUGAGUACCGCGCGCUGCUGCGCCCCAUCUUGUAUGCCGAGCCGCUGCUCGUCGCGCAUCGCCUGUUCACACAAGCCGUCGGCUACAACAACAGCUUCCUCGAUAUCCACACACGUCUCCUGCGCGGGUUGCCCGGGGCGGUGCUGAUGCUUGUCGUGCAGCAAGGCCUCGUGCUGAUGGCUCGCUACGCGGCGGAAGAGAAGGUCACAGGUGCCAACGGGGAGUGUCGUGUGACAAUCCUGGCGACCUUUGUCGCGACGCUGUGGCGCGACAACCUCGACGCGGUGGAUGGUGUGUUGUUGGCGCGGCGCGUCGAGCUCGCCCUGCGCAGCAACAGUGGCGACGACAUACUUCUCGGCACAGAGCUGUGCAAAGCCCUCCUCGCCGUGAUGGCGCAUCGCGCGCUGGAGCACGAGGAGAAGUACAACCCCGCGCAGCUGCAGGCGCUGGCCUACACGCCUUCCACGACCUCCUUGUUCGGCAGAGGUUCCAUGACGUCCUUCCGAGUUCGCUACUGGAAGGAUACGGCCAGCAGUGCGCAGCUGCUGCUGUCGCCGGAGGACGUGUUCGUCAGGGCUCGCCAGGCGCUGCUGACUGCCCUGCAGCAACCGUGUCUGGUGCCCAUUCAGGGCGACGAAGACAGCGAGGACACUGAGGAAGAGCACACGAGGCAGUCUGUCACUGCUGCCCGCUCGGAGGUCCGUCUCCACCUCGGGCAACAGAUACUCCUGCACCUGUGCCGCCUUCAAAGCCGCAUCUACGAGCUGCAGCGCGACCUCGACGGCGGCGCAGAGGUGAUCCUCCUGUCCUCGGCGGGACGGUACAACACGAUCAAUGACAUGCUGGUAGCGAUUGAGGAGGUGUCGCCUCCGCCGACGGAGAGCCAGGUCCUAGAGUACCUGUGCGCCUGCGUGCGGCAAGUAGCCCUCCCUCACGUAGCGUCGCUCAUCGAAACGCAGCAACGCCGCAAGUUCGAGUGGGCGUCGGCUUUUUCCAGCAACGGCGGCGCCGUGCCGUCAGAUGCGGUGUACAGUGUACCGGCUCCCACCUCCUCGAGGGUGGCCGUGGCGGCUGUAGAUACACCUGAGCUGCCUCCGAUUGCGCAGCUCCUGCAGUACUUUACCGCCGCGCACUUCGAGUACAAGCCAGAUCCCUACGACACCGCCCGAUACGAGUGGCAGCAGUGCAUGGAGCAGGCCCGAAGCCUGACGAAUCAGUACUUGAAAGGCAACAGGUCUGCCGGAGCCGUGAGUGCACGUCGCGCCGCGUCCAUCGUGACGUGGUUGGACGGCGAGGCGAAGCGCAUAGAUGCGGAGGAGUCCAUGCACAUGCACCUCUACAGCUCCUCCGCCGCCGCCCGCGCAGCGCUUCUGGAACUGAUUCGGCGCGAGCUCGCUCCUCCCACGGAGCCGCUCGCCUCUGAAGCGGAUGACCGUCUCGUGGAGCUGGCUGCGUCGUACCUCCUGCCCCGCGCUGUGUUGAACCUCCGUGAGGCGGCGACGGUUGCCGCCUUCUUCACGUGGCUCUUCCAGGAAGCAACUCCGACGACCGGGUCUGCGGCGACGGCGGGGCGCGGCGAAGCUGAGCAGACGCCGUGGUCGCUGCACUGUCGCGCCGUCGACCUUGCCUUGACAUUUGUGACGGCGGCCUUUACCUACUUUGUGGGCUUUACGGAUGGCGAGUGCAAGCGCCUCGGGUGCGUACUGCAGAGCCUCCUGCAGAUACCCGCUCUCAGUGCCCAUGGUCAGCAGCUGGACGCAGCGGCGCGCCUGUGGCCAUCCCUGCUGAAGUGUAUUCAAGCGCUGUCACCUCGCACGAAGCCUAGUGGUGGUGCGCCUGCAGCUGCCGGGGAAGGGGCCCGAGUGCUCAGCGACAAGGACGUCGCAGCAGCAGCAGUAGCCGGCACAAGCCCCACAUGCGAGGCUGGGGCUGCAGCGCUCGGGGGCAGACCUGCUGUGAGCAGCGGCGGCAUCCGCACUGUGAGUACCGCCGUAUUUGAAGGUUUCCUUCACUCUGCGCACGCUAGUCUCAUUAACGGCAAUGACGCAAGCAGCAGCGAGCGCGCCGGUCCCGCGUCCCUGCUGAACUUGGCAAUGGCGCGGGGAAUCGUGGCGUCGCCGGCGCAGUCGAAUGAGUUGCAGCCAGCAGCCUCCACUGCUGCCGAUGCUGCGGCUGGCACCCUCUCUGCCGUCCCGUUGCAGCUAGAGGCGUACCUCAGCAGGGCGAUGAUCCAGCUGCUCACUCACGAGCAGGACGUGCCCGCCUACGCCCACCGCAACCUCUUUCUCGUCCUUGAGCAUCUUGACAAGAGCACCUUCCCUGCGACCUUGUGCGCCGUGGACUUGCUCACCCGCGCCGUCGAGCCGCACGCGUCGAAGACGAAGUCGUACUACGCCUUGGCCUCGGCGGUGCUGAAGCUGCUGCGUGCAAAUCGCCGCCACCGCCGCGAGCUUCAGCACGCCAUCGCGGCACUCCGUCACGGAGACGAAGGUGUUGCCCCCGCUGCUCUGCAGGCGGCGCGGGGUGAAGACGGUAGUGCGCUGCCGCAGGUGCGUGCAGCCGCCACGGCCUGUCACGGGCGGUGGCGUCUCGACGAGCACUACAUGAGGCAGCUGCUGCAGAACGAGGUGGCGGCACUGCUCGAAGAUGCACAGGUACGCCAUCGGGUCGACGACGGCAGUGGCGAGGACGAAGAAUACGAGGAAGGCACCGACGACAACGAGGCGGAGAACGACGUCGCCGACGGCAUAAGUUGUUCGAGCGGCGAUGGGCAAGGCGAUAAUGAAGAGGAAGUGUGUGACGAUUUGUCUGCUGCAACCACUGCACAAGAUAGUGGGGAAGAGGAUGAGGAGAUCGACGACAGCGGAGGCGGCGAGGACGCGUCGGGCUCAGGCUCCGAAGAUGAUGACGAAGAAGAGCGCGACGACGGGAGCGAUGAAGACGAGUCUGCUGGCAGUGGCGACGGCGAUGAUGCGUCGCCGGCAGCGCGCAAACGUCGCCUUGAGGAAUGAUAAGGUGUGCGCGCGUGUGUGUACGUGUGCGGGCUCGUCUCGUUGUUGACAUACGGUGUAUGGAAUCUUG
rnacentral:misc_RNA from 1 species